rnacentral:rRNA from 1 species
AUUCCGGCUCCAAGAGCGUAUAUUAAAGUUGUUGCAGUUAAAAAGCUCGUAGUUGGAUUUCUGGUCUAAUGCGCCUGGCCCGCGGCAGUAAUGCCUGUGAGUGCCGGUGCGCGUUAACCAUCCUUCUAGAAAACGUUUCUACCAUUCACUUGGCUGGACUCGCGAUCUAGAUCUUUUACUUUGAAAAAAUUAGAGUGUUCAAAGCAGGCUUUUGCUGUGAAUACAUUAGCAUGGAAUAAUAAUCUAGGACUUCGGUUUUAUUUUGUUGGUUUCUAACACUGAAGUAAUGAUUGAUAGGGAUAGUUGGGGGUGCUAGUAUUGGCCGGCCAGAGGUGAAAUUCUUGGAUUCGGUCAAGACUAACUUAUGCGAAAGCAUUCACCAAGGAUGUCUUCAUCA